GCCAUUGAUUAGGAAUCUAAAAAGUUAGAAAGUCCUCCCCACAAGCCACAACACAGCAACGGUAGUCACUAAUGCUACUGGCCCAUCAUCCAUAUCCAUCCACGCUUCUACGUCUUCACCGACAAAAAAGAGUGCGAGUUUUGAGAUGGAACCUCCCCAGGUCCAAGCAAUAGACGGCAACUACCCUCCACAGGAAGAUGUGCAGGACAAAGUUGUCAAUGAAUGUUGUUCUUGCUUCUAUGACUGCUCGGAUAGCUGUCUCGAGUACUUUUGCUGCUACGACCUCUGUUAGUUUCUAGGAUGCCACGGGAGUACGUUUACAGUUUAUCGACUUCUUUUGCUUUAGUUAUAAGAGCUGUCAUUUUUCUUGGUGUUCAACUGAAGGAACAAGUUCAUGGUCUUUGCUGAGAAAACUUGUUUUUAAGUGGCAUAUAAAAAUCUCUUCAGAUGAGGAAGUAAUCGGUUCUUCGUUCUUCAGAUCUGUUUAACUUUUUAUUUCUCUUUCGUUUUUUAUUUGUGGCUGAUAUGAUAUAUGAUCAUUUGCGUUGUGGAUAUUAUUGAUUGCUCGAA